rnacentral:rRNA from 1 species
AGAGUUUGAUCAUGGCUCAGAGCGAACGCUGGCGGCAGGCUUAACACAUGCAAGUCGAACGGGCGUAGCAAUACGUCAGUGGCAGACGGGUGAGUAACGCGUGGGAACGUACCUUUUGGUUCGGAACAACCCAGGGAAACUUGGGCUAAUACCGGAUAAGCCCUUACGGGGAAAGAUUUAUCGCCGAAAGAUCGGCCCGCGUCUGAUUAGCUUGUUGGUGAGGUAACGGCUCACCAAGGCGACGAUCAGUAGCUGGUCUGAGAGGAUGAUCAGCCACAUUGGGACUGAGACACGGCCCAAACUCCUACGGGAGGCAGCAGUGGGGAAUAUUGGACAAUGGGCGCAAGCCUGAUCCAGCCAUGCCGCGUGAGUGAUGAAGGCCCUAGGGUUGUAAAGCUCUUUUGUGCGGGAAGAUAAUGACGGUACCGCAAGAAUAAGCCCCGGCUAACUUCGUGCCAGCAGCCGCGGUAAUACGAAGGGGGCUAGCGUUGCUCGGAAUCACUGGGCGUAAAGGGUGCGUAGGCGGGUCUUUAAGUCAGGGGUGAAAUCCUGGAGCUCAACUCCAGAACUGCCUUUGAUACUGAGGAUCUUGAGUUCGGGAGAGGUGAGUGGAACUGCGAGUGUAGAGGUGAAAUUCGUAGAUAUUCGCAAGAACACCAGUGGCGAAGGCGGCUCACUGGCCCGAUACUGACGCUGAGGCACGAAAGCGUGGGGAGCAAACAGGAUUAGAUACCCUAGUAGUCC